AACGAACGCUGGCGGCGUGCCUAACACAUGCAAGUCGAACGGAAUGAGGGGGCUUGCUCCUUCAUUUAGUGGCGCACGGGUGAGUAACGCGUAGAUAAUCUGCCUGAUGAUCUGGGAUAACAUCUCGAAAGGGGUGCUAAUACCGGAUAAGCCCACGGGGUCUUUGGACUCUGCGGGAAAAGGGGGGGACCUUCGGGCCUUCUGUCAUCAGAUGAGUCUGCGUACCAUUAGCUAGUUGGUAGGGUAAUGGCCUACCAAGGCGACGAUGGUUAGCUGGUCUGAGAGGAUGAUCAGCCACACUGGAACUGAGACACGGUCCAGACUCCUACGGGAGGCAGCAGUGGGGAAUUUUGCGCAAUGGGCGAAAGCCUGACGCAGCAACGCCGCGUGAGUGAUGAAGGCUUUCGGGUCGUAAAGCUCUGUCAAGGGGAAAGAAGUGUAUUGUGGUUAAUACCCGCGAUACUUGACGGUACCCCUAAAGGAAGCACCGGCUAACUCCGUGCCAGCAGCCGCGGUAAUACGGAGGGUGCAAGCGUUGUUCGGAUUUAUUGGGCGUAAAGCGCGUGUAGGCGGUUUAUUAAGUCUGAUGUGAAAGCCCUGGGCUCAACCCAGGAAGUGCAUUGGAUACUGGUAGACUUGAAUACGGGAGAGGGCAGUGGAAUUCCUGGUGUAGGAGUGGAAUCCGUAGAUAUCAGGAGGAACACCGGUGGCGAAGGCGGCUGCCUGGACCGAUAUUGACGCUGAGACGCGAAAGCGUGGGUAGCAAACAGGAUUAGAUACCCUGGUAGUCCACGCCGUAAACGAUGAGUACUAGGUGUUGCGGGUAUUGACCCCUGCAGUGCCGCAGCUAACGCAUUAAGUACUCCGCCUGGGAAGUACGGUCGCAAGACUA
rnacentral:rRNA from 1 species